UACGUAGGGGGCGAGCGUUGUCCGGAGUUACUGGGCGUAAAGGGCAUGCAGGCGGUCGGACGCGUUUCGGGUGACAGCGGGUGGCUUAACUACCCGAGUGGUCGAAAGACGGUUUGACUUGAGGACGCGAGAGGGACACGGAAUUCCGAGUGUAGAGGUGAAAUUCGUAGAUAUUCGGAAGAACACCAGUGGCGAAGGCGACUCACUGGACAACUGUUGACGCUGAGGUGCGAAAGCGUGGGGAGCAAACAGG
rnacentral:rRNA from 1 species